GAUGAACGCUGGCGGCGUGCCUAAUACAUGCAAGUCGAGCGAACGGACGAGAAGCUUGCUUCUCUGAUGUUAGCGGCGGACGGGUGAGUAACACGUGGAUAACCUACCUAUAAGACUGGGAUAACUUCGGGAAACCGGAGCUAAUACCGGAUAAUAUUUUGAACCGCAUGGUUCAAAAGUGAAAGACGGUCUUGCUGUCACUUAUAGAUGGAUCCGCGCUGCAUUAGCUAGUUGGUAAGGUAACGGCUUACCAAGGCAACGAUGCAUAGCCGACCUGAGAGGGUGAGCGGCCACACUGGGACGGAGACACGGUCCAGAGGCCUACGGGAGGGAGCAGUAGGGAAUCUUCCGCAAUGGGCGAAAGCCUGACGGAGCAACGCCGCGGGAGUGAGGAGGGUCUUCGGGUCGUAAAACUCUGUUAUUAGGGAAGAACAUAUGUGUAAGUAACUGUGCGCGUCUUGACGGUACCUAAUCAGAAAGGCACGGCUAACUACGUG
rnacentral:rRNA from 1 species